UUCAGCUGCAUAGCCACAUGAUCGGGUUUGUGUGGCUGUGGAUGAGGAGACCCCUGCCCAAUUGUUGUUGACUAUACAAUCGGUUUAUUUUUAAAUAUAGUAAUCAAAUAUAUUUCAUCAUACUUGAUGGUCUCAGAUAUGUGUGGGUUUUGGAAUUCUCCUUGGAACAAAUUUUAACAUCUUAUUUGUGCCAUCGUUUCAUAAUUUUUUUAUCUGAUCAAUUUUU
rnacentral:lncRNA from 10 species